rnacentral:rRNA from 1 species
GUAGGGAAUAUUGCACAAUGGGCGCAAGCCUGAUGCAGCAACGCCGCGUGCGCGACGAAGGCCUUCGGGUCGUAAAGCGCUUUUCGGGGAGAUGAGUACGGACAGUAUCCCCGGAAGAAGGAUCGGCUAACUACGUGCCAGCAGCCGCGGUAAAACGUAGGAUCCGAGCGUUAUCCGAAUUCACUGGGCGUAAAGCGCAUGCAGGCGGCCGCACAAGUUGGAUGUGAAAUCUCCCGGCUCAACUGGGAGGGGACGUUCAAAACUGUGCGGCUCGAGGGCGGUAGAGGAAGGUAGAAUUCCCGGUGUAGUGGUGAAAUGCGUAGAUAUCGGGAGGAAUACCCGUGGCGAAGGCGACCUUCUGGACCGUUUCUGACGCUCAGAUGCGAAAGCUAGGGGAGCGAACGGGAUUAGAAACCCUAGUAGUCC